rnacentral:rRNA from 1 species
GACGAAGGAUGCAAGCGUUAUCCGGAUUCAUUGGGUUUAAAGGGAGCGUAGGCGGUCUUAUAAGUCAGUGGUGAAAUCUCCUCGCUUAACGAGGAAACUGCCAUUGAUACUGUAGGACUUGAGUAUAGUUGCUGUGGGCGGAAUAUGACAUGUAGUGGUGAAAUACUUAGAGAUGUCAUAGAACACCGAUUGCGAAGGCAGCUCACAAAACUAUAACUGACGCUGAGGCUCGAAAGUGCGGGGAUCAAAC